rnacentral:rRNA from 1 species
UGGGGAAUUUUCCGCAAUGGGCGAAAGCCUGACGGAGCAAUACCGCGUGAGGGAGGAAGGCAUUAGUGUUGUAAACCUCUUUUCUUUGGGAAGAAGUUCUGACGGUACCAAAGGAAUAAGCAUCGGCUAACUCCGUGCCAGCAGCCGCGGUAAUACGGAGGAUGCAAGCGUUAUCCGGAAUCAUUGGGCGUAAAGCGUCCGUAGGUGGUCUUUCAAGUCUGCUGUCAAAGAGUGCAGCUUAACUGCAUAAAGGCGGUGGAAACUGGGAGACUAGAGUUCGGUAGGGGUAGCGGGAAUUCCCAGUGUAGCGGUGAAAUGCGUAGAGAUUGGGAAGAACAUCGGUGGCGAAGGCGCGCUACUGGGCCGAAACUGACACUCACAGGACGAAAGCUAGGGGAGCGAAAGGG